ACUUACAAAAAAAUUAUACUUAUAUGAAAUUCAUGAAUACAAUAAUAAAUAAAAAAUGAUAAAAUGUAAAACUAGUAUCCAAAGUUCAAUAUUUAAAAACACACAUAUAUACCAUACUAGCUAAGAUAUUUUAAAUAAUUAUAUCUAAUUUUCAUAAAAAUAAAAAUAAAAAUCCCACAUGUGUGGUGUGAAAAGGUGCAUGCAUCCUCCCCAAUUUCAAAAAGCACCACGUGUGUGGUGUGACCGUUACCUUCCACCCCUAGUCCGCGUCCCUCACAUCAGUCAAGAUCCUCCUUUUUUGAUGCCUUGAAAUUGAAAACGUUUGUUCAUUUUUAUUCUUUCCUUUUUCUCAUCGUCUUCGUCUCGUCUUCUUUCCUUUCCACUUUUUCUUCUUUCUUUUUCUUUCCGUUUUCCUUCUGUACAUUCUCCCUUUUUUUUUCUUGUUUCCUAUUCUUCUAUUUUGCACUGUAAGUUCCUCUUCUUCGAUGGAUUUUAGAGAGAGGGAGUCACAACAGCUAAGAAAGUUGUGGUCUACAGAGAGAGGGAGUCGAAGCGGUGGAAUUUCUUUCCAGGAAACCUCCACUCCGCCUAGACUGACCAAGCCGCCUAAGAGUGCCUAGGUUCUAGCAGCAGAGUUCCGUAUCGACGAGGAUUUGUGGCACCUUCCAAUACAGAUGUCUUCUUAUGAUGGCUGAUGGAUGCUUAACAAUGGUCUUUUAAAAUUGAUUGGAAGACCUAAUAUCUCUCUAGCAGGCCUCACUCACGAUCCUAAGGGUGGAAAUGUGGAAUUAUCCAAGCCUAUCUUAAUUACACCAAUAAUAUUGAUCUAUAUGUAUUUUUGGUUUGGAACUGCAAUAUUAUUGGUUUAUUCCAUAAUCAAGUAUCGGGCAUCUUCCUUGAGCAUGUCCAUAUAUAUUAUGGCACAA